CGUGAGUGAGGAGGCAAGCUUGGUCGUUGGCAGCGGAGAAAAAAAAGUCAAGGUGCCCCAUUCAUAUGGCUUGGGUCUGAGCAAUCCAGCCACAAACAGGAAAAAUACCUCAUGUAACAAGGGGAAAGCCCAGACAAAUCAGGCCCCUGGAAAUAUUGAGGGUGUUUGUCACAUAAGCUGUGAAAUUCGAAUUUAACAUUUGACCCUUGGAGAUGCUCUAAUAAGGUAGUUGUUUUGAGCAAUCCAAUCUACCAUAAUUAUAAAUAAAUAAAAAAUAUAAAUAAAAAAAACCAACAAUCCCACCCAGCUGCAGCCAUCAAACCACCAUAACCUCCGUCGCCAAACCACACUCAUUCCACGGGUGGUGCACCGUGCGGAUGGGGUGGUUCUAUUCUAUGGGAAUUGGUGGUAAAACAAGAAGUUUUUGAGUGAAACAAAAUUAAAUGAUGGGUGCUUUUAAAAGAUUGAUUGAGGAUGACAGCCAUGGAAUGUAAGAAAAACAUACUUACAUUUUUUAAUUUAACUGAAGUAUACCGCCAUGGAAUCUCAACUCAUUUUUUAAUUUUAGAAGGCCCAUCAAUUCU
rnacentral:lncRNA from 1 species